rnacentral:lncRNA from 1 species
AAAAGGCCACAUGUCGGUGAAAUGGAUAGAAAUUUCAUCCAUCAGCCGCCAUAGGUGUGUUCCUCUCCUUCCUCAUGUGAUUUUUAUGUUUUCCCGUAAAUCUUUCAAGGGUUUGACGAGUGUUGUGUUUGUUUUGAAGUUUUGAAGUUUUGAGCUACAAUUCCAAGUUUGAGAGUUUGGAAGCUUGGAAAGGUUGGUUCUCCAUCUUUCCACGUUAGGAUUACCUAUCCUCACGUAUUCUCAGAGGUAAGGGUAGAUCCUGAGCUUCUAGCAUGUUUUCUAAAGGUUUUAUGGAGUUUUUAUGGGUAGAGAUGCAUGUUUAGGUUAAGUAUGGUUGAUGUGAGUUUUGUGCAAAACUAUGCUUAUGUGUUGUGUUGAUGUUGUUGUUUGGGGUUUUUAAGGUUAGUGUUGGACCCUUUUGUGCAUGUGCAUGCGUAUAUGCGAGUUGUGGUUUGGUUGGUUGCAUGUUUGAGUGUGUUUGGGGGAAGUUGUGCAUGAGAAUAGCAGGAUUCUGCCUAACUGGCAAAUCCAGGUUCGGCCGCCGAAGGAAGGUUCGGCCGCCGAACGUGCUAAGGAGGUGGUUUCGGCUGCCUAAGCUCGCUCCCGAAGGUUUGAACUUUCGGCUCUGGAGCGGGGUUUCGGCCGCCGAAGGUGCCGCCGAAGGAUAGAGACUUUCGUCUCUGGAGUGCCCUUCAGCCCCCGAACCUUGCCUCCGAAAGGGUUCGGCUGCCGAAAGUAAAAGUUCGGCCGCCGAAGGUGCUUGAGUUUCGUCUCUGGACAGGACUUUCGGCCGCCGAACCUGCCGUCGAAAGUGCCCUGUCCAGCCUUCUUUUGCAUGCUUUAUGUGAUUGUUUUAGGGGUUUUGGGAAGUGGUUUAGAGAUGUUCUUGAGCUAGUUUGGUCCCUCAUUGGCGUCCACCUGUGUAGGUACGGACCAGAGGAACCGCAGAGACCAGCAGUGAGCACUGCACCAGAGUUAACCAAGUUAGACCAGAGUCAGCCAGAGGUGAGUAGAACUCAACUUCAUCUUUAUUUUAAAGAAAUUAAAUGCCUCAAGCAUGUUCAUGCAUCAUGCUGUUUAUAGUAGGUUGAUUGCACUAGUUUCACGAAUAUGGUGCGUUGCAUAAUAUGAUGACUAUGAUGAUGUGGAUGGACCAAGGCGACUCCAAUAGCCUUAGAAAUGUUGUAAGACCUGGCCGGGCCAGGCAUACAGAUGUUGUAAGACCUGGCCGGGCCAAACAUACAGAUGUUGUAAGACCUGGCCGGGCCAGGCAUACUGAUACUGGAGGGAGUUUUGGUGGUCAUGUCCAUCUGUGAUAUGAAAUGUUUGUGAUGUGAUGCAUUUCAUGAGAGCAUGUAAUUCAUGAACUAGUUUUCAGUGUUUCUACUCACUGGGCUUUAUAGCUCACCCCUCUCCCCUAACCUAGUUUUGCAGGUUCAGUGUGCAGGGGAGUCUAGCAGGGUACAGGAAGAGAAAGAGUAAGAGAUGUGUAAUAGCCUAGUGUGGACAUGUAAUGAUGUAAAGAAAAAUAAUGAUGUAAAGAGUUAUAAUGGUUUUGUAUAGUAUUGUGCUUGACCCAGAUGUAAUGUAAAUCCCUUUUUGUAUACAUGGUCUAUGAUGUAUAUGGCUAGUUGAUGAGUAUGGAUGAUCAGGUUUGACAUAUGCUGUGUGGACUCAGCUAGAGCUUUGAUGAGUGCUCUGGAAAGGGG